CUAACACAUGCAAGUCGAACGGCAGUCACAGUAAGAGCUUGCUCUUAUCGGGUGGCGAGUGGCGGACGGGUGAGGAAUACAUCGGAAUCUACUUUUUCGUGGGGGAUAACGUAGGGAAACUUACGCUAAUACCGCAUACGACCUACGGGUGAAAGCAGGGGAUCUUCGGACCUUGCGCGAUUGAAUGAGCCGAUGUCGGAUUAGCUAGUUGGCGGGGUAAAGGCCCACCAAGGCGACGAUCCGUAGCUGGUCUGAGAGGAUGAUCAGCCACACUGGAACUGAGACACGGUCCAGACUCCUACGGGAGGCAGCAGUGGGGAAUAUUGGACAAUGGGCGCAAGCCUGAUCCAGCCAUACCGCGUGGGUGAAGAAGGCCUUCGGGUUGUAAAGCCCUUUUGUUGGGAAAGAAAUCCAGCUGGUUAAUACCCGGUUGGGAUGACGGUACCCAAAGAAUAAGCACCGGCUAACUUCGUGCCAGCAGCCGCGGUAAUACGAAGGGUGCAAGCGUUACUCGGAAUUACUGGGCGUAAAGCGUGCGUAGGUGGUCGUUUAAGUCUGUUGUGAAAGCCCUGGGCUCAACCUGGGAACUGCAGUGGAAACUGGACGACUAGAGUGUGGUAGAGGGUAGCGGAAUUCCUGGUGUAGCAGUGAAAUGCGUAGAGAUCAGGAGGAACAUCCAUGGCGAAGGCAGCUACCUGGACCACACUGACACUGAGGCACGAAAGCGUGGGNGCAACAGGAUUAGAUACCCUGGUAGUNACGCCCUAACGAUGCGAACUGGAUGUGGGGUGCAAUUGGCACGCAGUAUCGA
rnacentral:rRNA from 1 species